rnacentral:sRNA from 1 species
ACAUUGACCAAAAAGCAGGAAGAAGAACAAUUAGCAUUAGCUGCAAAAGAAGAGGAAGAACGAUUAGCUGCGGAAGCAUUGACCAAGAAGCAGAAAGAG